UACGGAGGAUGCGAGCGUUAUCCGGAUUUAUUGGGUUUAAAGGGUGCGUAGGCGGCCGAGUAAGUCAGCGGUGAAAUUUUGCAGCUUAACUGUAACAGUGCCGUUGAUACUGCAUGGCUAGGAUUUGGUUUGCUGUGGGUGGAAUGUGUGGUGUAGCGGUGAAAUGCUUAGAUAUUACACAGAACACCAAUUGCGUAGGCAGCUUACUGAGCCGACACUGACGCUGAGGCACGAAAGCGUGGGGAUCGAACAGGA
rnacentral:rRNA from 1 species